rnacentral:tRNA from 1 species
UGGCUCAGUGGUAGAGCACUUGCCUUGCACGCAUGAGGCCCUGGGUUCGAUUCCUCAG